rnacentral:rRNA from 1 species
UACGUAGGGGGCAAGCGUUGUCCGGAAUUAUUGGGCGUAAAGAGCGCGUAGGCGGUUUGUCGCGUCUGCUGUGAAAACCCGAGGCUCAACCUCGGGCCUGCAGUGGGUACGGGCAGACUAGAGUGCGGUAGGGGAGAUUGGAAUUCCUGGUGUAGCGGUGGAAUGCGCAGAUAUCAGGAGGAACACCAAUGGCGAAGGCAGAUCUCUGGGCCGUAACUGACGCUGAGGAGCGAAAGCAUGGGGAGCGAACAGG